rnacentral:rRNA from 1 species
AUGGCUCAGAUUGAACGCUGGCGGCAGGCCUAACACAUGCAAGUCGAGCGGCAGCACGGGUACUUGUACCUGGUGGCGAGCGGCGGACGGGUGAGUAAUGCCUAGGAAUCUGCCUGGUAGUGGGGGAUAACGUUCGGAAACGAACGCUAAUACCGCAUACGUCCUACGGGAGAAAGCAGGGGACCUUCGGGCCUUGCGCUAUCAGAUGAGCCUAGGUCGGAUUAGCUAGUUGGUGAGGUAAUGGCUCACCAAGGCGACGAUCCGUAACUGGUCUGAGAGGAUGAUCAGUCACACUGGAACUGAGACACGGUCCAGACUCCUACGGGAGGCAGCAGUGGGGAAUAUUGGACAAUGGGCGAAAGCCUGAUCCAGCCAUGCCGCGUGUGUGAAGAAGGUCUUCGGAUUGUAAAGCACUUUAAGUUGGGAGGAAGGGCAGUUACCUAAUACGUAAUUGUUUUGACGUUACCGACAGAAUAAGCACCGGCUAACUCUGUGCCAGCAGCCGCGGUAAUACAGAGGGUGCAAGCGUUAAUCGGAAUUACUGGGCGUAAAGCGCGCGUAGGUGGUUCGUUAAGUUGGAUGUGAAAUCCCCGGGCUCAACCUGGGAACUGCAUUCAAAACUGUCGAGCUAGAGUAUGGUAGAGGGUGGUGGAAUUUCCUGUGUAGCGGUGAAAUGCGUAGAUAUAGGAAGGAACACCAGUGGCGAAGGCGACCACCUGGACUGAUACUGACACUGAGGU